CACAGUGGAGCUGCCAGGCGGACCGGCGCGAGACCGAUUUUGGGGUGUCGGCGCGGGGUGGGAACACACCUGGCAGUCGUAGAGGCGCGUGAGCUGCUCCAGGAUCCACUCCUCUAGGUUGAGGCGCUUCCGUAGCUCCUUGCGGUCAUACUUGACGGUGACCUUCCCUUGGCGCCUCACUGGGCCCUCAUCGUCCGCCCCGCCCGGGCCCUCUCCUGCGGCCCCGGGGGGGCUCUGAAAGUAGACGCGUGGUCCUGGGCCGCCACUGCCCGGCCCGGGGGCCGGGGCCGCCAACGCCGCGCCCCCCGCGGUGCCGCUGUCCGCCAUGGCGGCCGCCGGGGCCACGUGCGAGCGUCGGGCCCCUCCCUGCGCCACCGCCUCCGGGACGCCCGCCGGCUGGCUCGGGUUAGCUCGCCGGCUCCGCUCCGCGCGGCUCCGCGGCGAGGGCGGCGGCGGGGGCGCCCGGGGGCAGCUGCAGCAUGCGGAGCCCCCGGGCUUGGCCUGGCCGCGCCCCGCCCCCUCCCCGCCGAUCCGCCCGCCCUUUGUCCCCCGCGGCCGCCGCCCGAGCUGCAGCCGCCGAAGCGCUUUCUCUGUCUCGCUCUUCCUCCGCCCCCCGACCACACCCCCUUAAAGGGCCAGCCCCUCUACAGGCCCCUCUCCCCUACUCCGCCCCCGGGCAGGGGUAGGGGAGGGUCUAUUCGGCAGGGGGUGGCCUAGCUGUCCGUACUCCCCAAACGCAACCUUCCAGUCCCAAACCCAGGCGUUCUAAGCGCUCAGGACGACGAUUUGCGCUCACGCCAGGACCCUAGUCUUCAUUGGACCCUUCCUCAUUCUGUCCUCAUUGAGGCCAUCUGAGAAUAGGGGCUAUCUGAGAAUGCAGGGGAGUGGACAUCGUGUGCAGACAGGGAGUCUGAUUGUGAGUGCCACGGGGCUGAGGCCUGCGCCGACCUGGUCUGCUGGUGCUACCAGGCUUGAACAGUCUUCAAAUCCACUGCUAUUAGGCAAAUUACCUGGCUCCCGCUGAACUCCAGCACCUAGAACUAUGUCACACUCGUAGUAGGCCGCUGCAUUGGUUGAACAAAUGAUUUUGAAAGAAUGAAUGUCUUCCUCUGUGCCUGCAUUUCCUCAGAAGGCUGUAACAAAGAUUAAAUAGGAAAAUUCGUG
rnacentral:lncRNA from 1 species